rnacentral:rRNA from 1 species
GACGUAGGGCGCGAGCGUUGUCCGGAUUUAUUGGGCGUAAAGAGCUCGUAGGCGGCUUGUCGCGUCGACUGUGAAAGCCCGCGGCUCAACCGCGGGUCUGCAGUCGAUACGGGCAGGCUAGAGUUCGGUAGGGGGAGACUGGAAUUCCUGGUGUAGCGGUGAAAUGCGCAGAUAUCAGGAGGAACACCGAUGGCGAAGGCAGGUCUCUGGGCCGAUACUGACGCUGAGGAGCGAAAGCGUGGGGAGCGAACAGG